CACCGAGAGAUUAGAGAUACAACCCGGAUUUCCACCAAGGCCCGAAAUGGGAUAUUUGGGCCAGCGAGUUUAUACUCGGCUGCGCCGCCAACCAGAAUAAAAAUUACGCUCUGUUGACGUGGCAAGACCUAAUUCGGUAGAUCUACACCCUCUCGUCUCUCUCUCUCACACACACACAACACACACAACCCGUCUCCAGUGCUUAGCUCGGAAGCAAGCGUCAGAUUUUCGUCUUCAGCUCAAAUUUGGAGAAUUGGAGUGAUUUCAAUCUGAAUAUUGUUACGAACUUGUAUCUAUUUUAACUAUUCAUAAAUUUUAGAAUUUGUGAGUGUCUUAUACAUCCUUAGAUAUACUGGGUGGCAGAGAAAUAACUCAGCAAGGAUAGUUCAAACAUGUCAGCUCUCUUCAAUUUCCAUUCAUUCCUGACAGUAGUAUUGUUAGGCAUCUGUUCCUGCACAUAUGUGAAGAUGCAGUUUCCUGCACUUCUUGAACAGAGAACUGGGUAAGUUUUUUUCACGUUCACUGCUAGUUUCAAAUAAAAUGGUAAGCCGUUUCCAUUGGACUUGGUCCAGUUAGCUGCUCUUAUUUAUUUAUCCACCUUCACACAAUAGCAACUUGUCACAUGUAAUGAUAGGCCAAUUGCUGCAGCAGGGUUUAGAAACUUGAAAUCUUGAUUUUAUUGUUGCUAUGUGACUGCUCCUCGGUGCUUAUUGCCAUUUCUGUGCAAAAGUUAUUUUGGCUUUGGUGUUCUAGACUAGACUCCAGAUAAAUGCUUGUUAUCUCUACAAUCAAAUGGCGAGUGAGAAAAUUGAAAAUGUAUUGUUUUAAAUCCGGUCCACCAUCUUUUGGAACUUUAUGCCAUCAUACUUUUUAAUUGGCUAUCUGGGCUGGUUAUAUGUCAUGUCUCUGAAAACAUGAUGCUACUUCCAUUCUGAUAUUUUGUUGUUAUGGCAGGUUUCGAGGCGUUUUCUGGAAAGCUGCUAGAAUAGGUGAGAGACUCAGUCCUUGGGUAGCCGUGGGGAGCUUUGCAAUGGGAGUUUCAAUAAUUUUCUUCUAAACAGACAUCACUAAUGAGCUCCAGACAAGGGAUGACUCCUUGCAAGUUGAUAUAUUUGGACGUGUUCUGUAAAGAUUAGCACUCUAUAUAUGCAAGUACACAAGGCUCAAGAUCAUAUGUAAAAACAUCAGCUAUUUCAGCAAAAGAUUCAUUUAACUGAUAUCAGUACAGCAGGUUCUUCUUUGCUGUGCUUAGUUGCUGCUGCUUCAACGCUUUCUUCAGCCUCAGAUUCCGUGCCCCAGUGAAGCGGAUAACUCCUCAGGAACACCCUUCUUGUGUUGUAGUCUUCGUCCCUGAAACUUUUUGCUCUCAGCCCAUCUCCCUCCAUGCCUUUGAUAUCUGUUUUUACCUACUCAGGACACUCUCUUUUAUAGGUGUUUUGGUGCAAUGAGUGUGUGUGCUGCAUUUCUUCUGGGGACAGGGACAAAAGAUUUCACAAAAUACUAAAUUAACAAUCCCUUUUGAGUUCCUAAUUGUGUUAAACUAUGUAGUUUUGUUUAUUAUAGCGCGAUUGUCGUUUCUUUUAUGCGCAGCAGAAUCGAUUUCAGGGGUGAAUACUUUAGCAAUAUGGUGCAUUCUAUGCUGCUGGACUUCCUAGGUAAUUUUUGUUUCAUUUUCGUUACUAAGUGCCAUGAUUGUGCUAUUUUGAAAUCUUGGGGUCUGUCCAAUUUAUUGAUCUUGUUUGCUUAAAGGUAUUUUCUAUUACUUUCAUGGAUA